rnacentral:rRNA from 1 species
UACGUAGGGCGCAAGCGUUGUCCGGAAUUAUUGGGCGUAAAGAGCUCGUAGGCGGUCUGUUACGUCUGCUGUGAAAACCCAGGGCUUAACCCUGGGCUUGCAGUGGAUACGGGCAGACUAGAGGCAGGUAGGGGAGAAUGGAAUUCCCGGUGUAGCGGUGAAAUGCGCAGAUAUCGGGAGGAACACCAAUGGCGAAGGCAGCUCGCUGGGACGGUACUGACGCUGAGGUGCGAAAGCGUGGGGAGCAAACAGGG